UGACAGCAGUGCUGUAGACAUG
rnacentral:miRNA from 1 species